AAUAUUUGUACUGCAGAGACAAAGCACACACUACGUUCUGUGUGGAAUGGUUGGGAACUGUACCUGGACUUUUGUCGCAUGAAACGCAGGAUGCAGGAGGCAGCAGUGCAGCAUGAGAGACUCGCUGUACUAAAGUGGGUUUGGACUGUGUGGAAUAUGACACUACAGCACAGGGAUGUGGAGUACCAUCAAGAAGAUCUUGCUUUGCAACACUGGGCUCACACUGUACAGAGCAGAGCGUGGCUGCACUGGAGAGACAGGAUGAAACAAGCCUGUGUUCUGAAAGAGAAGGAGUCCAAAGCUCAUCGUCACUAUUGUCUUCAACUGUUAAGACAUGCACUGCAUGGAUGGAUCAGACACACAGAGAACCGACAGGCUAAGAGCAAGAAAACAGGUGCCAUUCACUUUUUAUAUUUAUGAUAUAUACUGUUGGUCAAAUUGGUCAGAAGUGAC
rnacentral:lncRNA from 1 species